AGUGAACGCUGGCGGUAGGCCUAACACAUGCAAGUCGAACGGCAGCACAGUAAGAGCUUGCUCUUACGGGUGGCGAGUGGCGGACGGGUGAGGAAUACAUCGGAAUCUACUUUUUCGUGGGGGAUAACGUAGGGAAACUUACGCUAAUACCGCAUACGACCUACGGGUGAAAGCAGGGGAUCUUCGGACCUUGCGCGAUUGAAUGAGCCGAUGUCGGAUUAGCUAGUUGGCGGGGUCAAGGCCCACCAAGGCGACGAUCCGUAGCUGGUCUGAGAGGAUGAUCAGCCACACUGGAACUGAGACACGGUCCAGACUCCUACGGGAGGCAGCAGUGGGGAAUAUUGGACAAUGGGCGCAAGCCUGAUCCAGCUAUACCGCGUGGGUGAAGAAGGCCUUCGGGUUGUAAAGCCCUUUUGUUGGGAAAGAAAAGCAGCAGGUUAAUACCCCGCUGUUCUGACGGUACCCAAAGAAUAAGCACCGGCUAACUUCGUG
rnacentral:rRNA from 1 species